CACCAAACACAUUGGCGUUCCACACUUCCACGUUGAAGAAGAAGAACUAGAUAAACCUCUAGUUUUUAAAACCUCCGUCAUCAAUCAACAAUGGCGAAACUUCUCUCUCUUCUCCCGUUCUCUAUCCUCCUUCUAUUUUCUCUCUGCUCUGCAAAACCUAACCCUAAUUCUCUAAAAGCAGCACACACAGAACUCACUGCCUUCGGCUUUCCCGUCGGACUCCUCCCCUCAAACGUCGCCGACUACUCAAUCAACCAUACUUCCGGCGACUUUUCCAUCAAACUCAGCGAUCAAUGCAUGCUAACACUUCCUCCAGACAACUACCUCGCGACGUAUUCGAAGAUCGUCAGGGGUAAAAUCGUCAAGAAUAAGAUUGCUCAACUUGAUGGAAUUAGGGUUAGGGCUUUGUUUCAGUGGUGGUCUAUUACUGGGAUUCGAUCCAGUGGUGAUGAUUUGGUUUUCGAGGUUGGUAUGUUAAGUGCUAAGUAUCCGGCUAAGAAUUUCAAGGAGAGUCCACCGUGUGAAGGCCUCAAGGCCGAUUCUUGAGCUCCCGAUAAAAUUUGGGAUUCGAGAGCUUCACUCAUGUUCGUUUCAGUUCCACAAGUGUAUAUGCAUGCCCUAAAGUUUGGCUCUCUGGGAGCAGCUGGUAGUGCUGAAUUGAGUAAUUUAGUUAUUCAAUUAGAGUUUCCCACUAAAGUACGAGUAGUAAACUUCAUUUUACUGCUUUCCUUGAUGUAAUGUGUAUAUAAAUAUAAAUGCUGUUGUACGUACUAUCUUAUCGACUCUCUGUGCAGUAAAAUGCAGCAGGUAGUAUCUAAGCUUUGUUUGUAUUUGCAUGAACUUCUGAUGUUGUCUAUACUUGUAAACUAAACUUAUUAUUACUAUCAUUAUUAUCGCCGAGUUCAUCGCAUUAAAUAUGUCAUGCUGCAGAGAGCUGCAAAUUCUGUCCAUAUCUGUUAGUGCCACAGGGAAAAAUUGAAAUAAACUGCAUGUUCAUGACUGUCUUUGAUCAGAACAGUAGUUCAUCACGAAGGGUUGGAUGGUUGCU